rnacentral:rRNA from 1 species
AUUGAACGCUGGCGGCAGGCCUAACACAUGCAAGUCGAGCGAGCGGCGGACGGGUGAGUAAUGUAUGGGGAUCUGCCCGAUCGAGGGGGAUAACUACUGGAAACGGUGGCUAAUACCGCAUACUAUCGGAUGAACCCAUAUGGGAUUAGCUAGUAGGGGGGGUACAGGCUCACCUAGGCGAAGAUCGCUAGCUGGUCUGAGAGGAUGACCAGCCACACUGGGACGGAGACACGGCCCAGACUCCGCCGGGAGGAAGCAGUGGGGAAUAUUGGACAAUGGGGGAAAGCCGGAUGCAGCCAUGCCGCUUGGAUGAAGAAGGCCUUAGGGUUGUAAAGUACUUUCAGCGGGGAGGCGUUACCCGAAGAAGAAGCACCGGCUAACUACGUGCCAGCAGCCGCGGUAAUAC